CCGAGGAGCGCCGGGCUGCUGCCCCGAGCCCCGCCCACUACAGCCUCAGUGCAUGGCGGUGGGCGCUUCCAGUAACUCAGGGGUGGGACUUUUUUCUUGCUCAGGGGAUGAGGCCGAGCCCACAGGCUUAGAAAGAAGGAACUUGAGUCCGGGCACCUGUCAUCCCAGCGCUUAGGGAGGCCGAGGCGGGUGGAUCACCUGAGGUCAGGAGUUCGAGACCAGCCUGGCCAAUAUGGCGAAACCCCCGUCUCUACUAAAAAUACAAAAAUUAGCCGAGCAUGGUGGCAUGCACUUCCAGCUACUUGGAAGGCUGAGGCGGGAGAAUGGCUUGAACCUGGGAGGCGAGGGUUGCAGUGAGCUGAGAUCGCACCACUGCACUCCAGCCUGGGUGACAGAGCGAGACUUCGUCUCAAAAAAAAAGAAGAAGAAAGAAGGAAGCUGAGGUUCAGACAGGCUAAGUCCCUACUGCAGGCUGCGGAAUCUAAAAAGGUCAUGAACUCUGAGAGUUUGAGAUGAGCCUCUAAAAGCUGUAUCAAUAGCACCUUGCACUGUUGAAGCAGGCCAUGAACUCUGAGAAUUUGGGCUGCAUUUUUAAAGCUGUAUCACUGGCAGUUUGUACUCAAAAAGCAGGUGCAGCUCCCUCCACACCCUGAGUCUUCAUGUGGCUCCAUCUUGUCUCCAACCAGUGCUCUGAACAGAGUUCACCACCCAAGGGAGCCCUCUCUGACUGCUGUCCCCCGAGCACCUGCUUUGUUCCCUUCUUGAGAUAGUGUCUUGCAAUGUCGCCCAGGCUGGAGUGCAGUGGUGCCCCUCCUGUUGUGAAUGUGAGUAACAAACCAUCUUUUCAAUGGCAGUCUCCUGCUGACCUGUCUACCUGUUGUGUGUGAAGCUGUGUGAUUCAAAUCAGCUUGAAUUACAUUUUUGUGAGUUCUGGAAAACCCAGACACCAUCUGUUCUUGUGUGCGAGUGUGUGUGUGUGUGUCCGUGGUUGAGGAAGUUUGGAAGACACCCCAUGGUCAAACAAGGUGGAGUCUAGGGCCACUUUCCCUGCCACAUGGCUAUCUUAUUAGAACCCUGCCUACCACAAAUGCCCAAUCCCAAGGGUAAGGCAAGACAGCAGCCCUGGAAUCCCUCCUUUGGACGGUUCCAGGACCCUUCUCCUUGGAUGCUCAGAGAUGGGAUGAAGAGCAGGUAAGGGAGGCGUGGGCUCAGGGCCAGAAAGCCUGGUAACCUCCCCUUCCUGAGUCCUGUGUCCUCCUCUGUAAAAUGCAGACACUCCUGGGAUGUCACUCACAGCCAGGGCUGCUGGGCUUAUUGUACUCUGCAGUUAGGCUCCUGUCUGAGGAGAUGAAAGGAUGUGAAAUCCAGCCUGUACCAUCUUCACAAGCUGUAUCCAUGCCUGGGCUGCAGGAUUUCAACCACAGCAUAGCAUUGACCUGUCCAAAAGCCCCAAAGCCUAUCAUGGCCAUGUAUGCAGUUAUUGCUACUUGGGAAAAAUUCUUAUUAAACAGAAAACAAGCAUAGGUGAAGAUACCCAUUUUGAAACAAUCUUAUUUUUUAUCUUUUAAUUUGAGGUGAUGCUCAUUGUCUUAUAAGGGGCCUUUGCCAUCACUAGAUGGCAUUCUUGCAUCAUGGAAAACUACACAGGAGCUCCUUUAAAAAUCAAUUUUGAACUGUGGCAAAAUACACAUCACAUAAAAUUUACCAUGUUAAAAUUGUACAAAGUACAAUUUUAAAACGAAU
rnacentral:lncRNA from 1 species